UACGUAGGGUGCGAGCGUUGUCCGGAAUUAUUGGGCGUAAAGGGGCUCGUAGGCGGUUUGUCGCGUCGGGAGUGAAAAUCCAGGGCUUAACUCUGGACUGGCUUCCGAUACGGGCAGACUAGAGGUAUGCAGGGGAGAACGGAAUUCCUGGUGUAGCGGUGAAAUGCGCAGAUAUCAGGAGGAACACCGGUGGCGAAGGCGGUUCUCUGGGCAUUACCUGACGCUGAGGAGCGAAAGUGUGGGGAGCGAACAGG
rnacentral:rRNA from 1 species